UCCAGACUCCUACGGGAGGCAGCAGUGGGGGAUAUUGGACAAUGGGGGGAACCCUGAUGCAGCGACGCCGCGUGGGUGAAGGAGUAUUUCGGUAUGUAAAGCCCUAUCGGCAGGGAAGAAGCAAGACGGUACCUGACUAAGAAGCCCCGGCUAACUACGUGCCAGCAGCCGCGGUAAUACGUAGGGGGCGAGCGUUAUCCGGAUUCACUGGGUGUAAAGGGAGCGUAGACGGCCAAGCAAGCCAGGGGUGAAAGCCCGGGGCCCAACCCCGGGACUGCCCUUGGAACUGCUUGGCUGGAGUGCGGGAGGGGCAGGCGGAAUUCCUGGUGUAGCGGUGAAAUGCGUAGAUAUCAGGAGGAACACCGGCGGCGAAGGCGGCCUGCUGGACCGCGACUGACGUUGAGGCUCGAAAGCGUGGGGAGCGAACAGGAUUAGAUACCCUGGUACCA
rnacentral:rRNA from 1 species